GCGCGGGAGACUCUCAGGCGGGAGGUCAAGCACAGGGCUGCCACGCGGUCCGGCAACUCCGCUCCAGGAACGCGCCCAAAACAAACGAAAGCACACGUCCCCACACAAAAACGGGCGCAGGUACGUCCGCGACGGCGCCAUUCGCACAGCGGCCCAGAGCGGAAGCGACCCAGAAGCCGCCCGCAGACGAACGGGCCCACGAAACGUGGCCGGUCCACACGGUGGGACGUUACUUGGCUGCACAAAGGGCAUGAAGCACCGGUACACGUCACAACACGGCUGAGCCUUGAAACGUGACCCUUGGCGGGAGAAGCCGGACACACGGGCCACGUACGGUUCCGUGCGGCUCCACGCGUGUGAAAUGCCCCCGACAGGCGGAUCCGUGGAGACAGAAAGCAAGAGUGGCGGCCGCCAGGGCCUGGGGGGCAGGAGAGCGGGAGUGACCGCUGAAGGGGGAGGGGGGUUUCUCUCGGGCACAGAGAGAGAAUGUUCCGGAACUCGGCGGCAAUGGCGACCGUCUGACUCUGUGAACGUGUCGGCGUGGUGUGACGCACCGAGUCACGCUCCUGCAAAGGCGACUCUUACCCUGCGUGAAUUAUCCUCUCGGUCAUGGGGAAAAAAAAACCAGGAGAGAGACUGGAGGAGGGCUGGCUGCGGGCUGUUUGUGCUGCUGCUGCUGCUGCUCCCCCGCGGCCGGCCCCACCGGUCUGACCCGCCGCCGCCUCUGCCCCACAGCCCCUGGGAGGUGACGGCGCCCUGAGUCAAAGGCAUCCACCAAACCAGGAUGAAAAGCCAGGCGGGCGGAGCUCUCGGUUUCAGUAAAGCCACAUAAAACCUCAUCCGCCCGCCACGGCCCCUCUGCAGGCCGGG